rnacentral:lncRNA from 1 species
CAUUUUGAUCUGAAAAAACACUAAAGAAUGAGUAUUUCUUCUCAAGAACAAACACCACAAAGCCUUUCCUCAUCUAUUCAGAACCAAUAUUACUUUUAAAUACACUAUUUAAGAAGAGUCAAGGAAAAAAAGAUGGAGGGAUGAUUUUUGUGCCAUUUCAGGGUGACAGAAAAGGAAACAAGGAGAGCUGGAAUUGACCUGGCUUCUUGUGGGAAAUACUUCAGUGAUGGAUGGAAGCAGAGGGAGAAAGGACCAAAAUGAAGCCAGGAGGGACAAGAUGGCUGGAAUGUUUGGUUCUGAGGAUUCAUGAUUGUCCUUAACUCACACAGACUGAACUCUGGUUUGCCUGUCUUCCUGGGGCUUGUAUAAGAACAUCCUGCAGAAAAAUAUUAACAACACGAGUGAUCUUCACUGUGUUUAACGACUCAUUGAUUGUGAAAGAUGUUUUACCUGGGAUAACAAUGAGUGUGUAUUCCCGGAGCCUAAACUCACUGACCUGGAAGGGGGCCCCUGAGAAGUGUGCUAAGUGGACAAAGGAAGCCUGGCUAGAGUUUAUAUUUUUCUAACUAGAUAACUGAGUGAACUAAAAGGUCUUUUAUUAUCCUUAUGUGGAUUACGUACUUUAUAGGAUAUGCAUAGUCAAUAUUAAAACCA